AGAUUGAACGCUGGCGGAAUGCUUACACAUGCAAGUCGAACGGCAGCACGGGGACAACCCUGGUGGCGAGUGGCGAACGGGUGAGUAAUGUAUCGGAACGUACCCAGUCGUGGGGGAUAACUAUCCGAAAGGAUAGCUAAUACCGCAUACGUCCUGAGGGAGAAAGCGGGGGAUCGCAAGACCUCGCGCGAUUGGAGCGGCCGAUAUCGGAUUAGCUAGUUGGUGAGGUAAAGGCUCACCAAGGCGAC
rnacentral:rRNA from 1 species